CACGUAGGGGGCGAGCGUUGUCCGGAUUCAUUGGGCGUAAAGCGCGCGCAGGCGGCUUGGAAAGUCGGGUGUGAAAACUCGGGGCUCAACCCCGGGCGUGCAUCCGAUACUGCCAGGCUCGAGGCAGGUAGGGGAGAUCGGAAUUCCUGGUGUAGCGGUGAAAUGCGCAGAUAUCAGGAGGAACACCGGUGGCGAAGGCGGAUCUCUGGGCCUGUCCUGACGCUGAGGCGCGAAAGCUAGGGGAGCGAACAGG
rnacentral:rRNA from 1 species